UAGAUCCGUCAACUGGAUCUUAGAUCCCAUGGUUCCUAAGCUCACAUAAUGUAACAUGAAUAGCAUGCAUAAUAAAUAAAGUAUAUACUUAAUCUAAACGUUGCAAAACAAAAGAUUCAUCAGUUAAAUCCUUGCAUGUAUGUAGCCAAGCUUCCCGUUUCCUUUAAAUACAGAUCUAGGGACGCGUGAUUGCUUAAUAUUUACAAAAAACUAGAAAGAAAACUAGAUUUAAAUAAAUAUUAGCC
rnacentral:lncRNA from 1 species